AUACAUAGGGGGCAAGCGUUAUCCGGAAUUAUUGGGCGUAAAGCGUGCGUAGGCGGUUUAUUAAGUCUGAUGUUAAAUCCCACAGCUUAACUGUGGUAAGCAUUUGAAACUGCAGGGCUUGAGUACAGGAGAGGAGAAUGGAAUUCCUAGUGUAGCGGUGAAAUGCGUAGAUAUUAGGAGGAAUACCAGUGGCGAAGGCGACUCUCUGGACUGAUACUGACGCUGAGGCACGAAAGCGUGGGGAGCAAACAGGAUUAGAUACCCUGGUAGUCCACGCUAUAAACGAUGAGUGCUAGGUGUCGGGGGUCAAACCUCGGUGCCGCAGUUAACACAUUAAGCACUCCGCCUGGGGAGUACGGCCGCAAGGCUGAAACUUAAAGGAAUCGACGGGG
rnacentral:rRNA from 1 species